rnacentral:tRNA from 3 species
CGCGUAGCUCAGAUGGUUAGAGCGCACGCCUGAUAAGCGUGAGGUCGGUGGUUCGAUUCCACUCGUGCC